CCCUUCGUUCGGUGAUUUGACAGCUUUUGGAAUUAAAGGUUCGGUUCGACGCGAAAUUACGCGCAUUUCGUCGCUCCGUUUAAUAGCCGCUUAACGAGAAAGUAAGAGGCUGCUCGUGUUUUCGUCGAAAGAGAAGCGUCGUUUCGUGUUGCGCGGCGUGGCGUCGGGCACAGUGCAGUUUUCUUCGCGCCGAUUAAUUUCCGCUAGCUUGGACACUGCCACUUUAUUACUCCUCUCGCCAGCCAAGGAACAGGGCUCGAGUAACUCUUCCGUACUUGGGAUUUCUCCAGCUCGUUUUCCACCUACACACGUUCAACAGGAGAACGCUGCAAAUGUACGCUCCAUAUACAACACUAUGGUUACACCGUAGAGAAUCGACCGAGUUCUCGCCGCCCUGUGACAACUUUGAGGCAACUCUUCGGGCACACCUGUAUAAAGAGUCAGUCAGAUACCUGAGCAUGAUUCUGGACAGAAGAUUGACAUGGAAACAACGUAUCUUAGAUAAAACUCAAAGCAAAAUUUUAAAAAUUCUACUGGCUCAUCGGCCGACGUUCCAACUUAAACACGCAAAGUAAAAUCACACUAUACAAAGCUAUAUUAAAACCUGUUUGCACCUAUGGAAUCCAACUAUGGGGAACAGCGAGUAAUUCCAACAUAGAAAUUCUUCAACGAUUCCAAUCGAAAACCUUAAGAUCCCUAAUAGAUGCACCUUGGUACGUCACCAACGAAACGAUACAUCACGACCUCUAGAUACCCACGGUCAAAGAAGAAUUAUCCAAAUUCAGCAAUAGACAUUGCGCAAGAGUUAACAACCACGAAAAGCCUCUAAUUACUCAACUACUCGACACCUCGGGACAGAUCUGUAGGCUAAAAAGACAUUACACCUUAGACCUAAGCACUAGAUUCAAACAGAAUCAAACAUACUAUAAACACUUAUUAAUCAUGUCACAGUACCGCGCCAGAUAAAUUUAUUUAAAAUCCUCUAACGAGAAUUAAUUGUAAAUUAAACGCAAAUAUAGAAAAAAAUUUAUAGAUUUCUCAAACGAUUUAAAAUAAUCUGAUCCGCGAUUACUGUUCUCGCUACUGCGACGAAAAUGACGGCGAGGAUCUCGCGAAUCGUGGACUACGACGCAACGUAGCAAAGAAGUUACAGAACAUAUGUAUUGUGACAUAAGGUGAUACAAUAAAAUAGAAGGCAAAUAACGAUCGUCAAAAGUUGACAGGGAUGAACAAAGACGUAUGUAGAUAUGCGUGUUCGCAUUUCAUCGUACGUUAUUACAACGCGUUGGCGUGAUUUAUGACGAUACAAAUUAUUAGAUUCAGGCAUGACAUCCUUUCACGCGAGAUCGUUGUUUCUCUUAACGUUUGUUUCAGUUUUUAUUGUCACCAAGCCGCAUACGUGGCAUAGAAUAAACCCGAUAGUCGAUGGUUUUCUCGUGUGCUGCGUUUUGAAGGGUCAGGCGACUCCGAAUGUGUGAAAUUCUACAAUUACGCGAGAACAACGAGAUAUUCUAUCAUUAUCGAUAUAGCUUUUCGUAAACGAUCUAUCAUAUUCGCGGCAACGGUUUUGAAAAAGAAAUAAAUAUAUAGCAAGUAUCGUCGAGAAGACAGCGGAUAACGAGUAAAUGAUAAAAAUUAAAUUUUCCUAAAUCAUGUAUAUUCUUUAAUACGCGAGGCUUAAGAUAAUACACGGAAGGUUACGUAAAACUUUUGUAUUUUAACUUCUAAAUGAGCAACUACCUCGAGUACGGUAAACAGUAAAGGCGGGCAAAUAAACUCGACUAAGCAACUGCUAUCUUGUACAGAAGUGUAACUGAAAUGAAAACAAGAGCAUCUUCUUAAAGCAUGCUCUUUAAGAGUUACGGAACUACACAGUCGUUUGAAAAUGUCCGUGUUUUCUUCUGUUAUUUUAAACCCAAACAUCUACCGUAGAAUCGAGGAUUUUAGGAAAUGAAGCCAAAUUUGCUAAGUGAAACUUUGCAUGGUAAAACCCUGAUGUCGAAAGCGAAGCAUAGAAUGUAUUCGUCGAACAUAAUUAUAAAUACUGUUUGACUCUCGUGAAAAAUUCGAAUAUAACAAGAAAUACACUACAACGUAGCUAGUCGUUAACGUUCUUAUGUCUGUCUGUUAAUGGCCUUACGUGAAACAAGAAGAACGAUACUCUGCCAGACAGUAUUAAAUCACGAUGUAGUAAUAUCUUUAUAGGUGAUAUUUCUAUAUCUAUUUCAUUCGCUUACGCUCGUUAUUAUCUUUUCUUACUGAUAUUAGUACUACGUUAAGACAUCGAGUUAUGUGUAUAAAACUUUAUAUUCCGCAUCGUAUCUACACACUGGGUGUUCGGCUACAAGUGUCAGGAAAUUUAAGGGAUGAUUCUUGACACCCAAAUAAGGCGAAAAUCAAAAAUAAAAAAAUUGCGUUUUCGGCUUUGUUGUUUAGUUACUGACAAUUAAAAAUACCCCUGCACGCGAGCAAACCCUCCUUACACGAACGAAAAGAGGUCAGCCUAAGCAGUAGGGCGUAUAUCAUAUAUAUGUAUACGGUAUGCAUGGAGAUACUAGCAUAGCAAUUAAUUUAUUCUUGACACAAGCAGCUUAUCAAUUCUUAAAGCAUAUGCAAUAAUUUUACUCCGAUUGAAAUUUAAGCUUUCGCAUAAGCCAACAAGAAAUCAAACUUACAAGGAAUAAAAUAGAAAUUAAAGAUACAUAAAGUUAUAUUUAAUAUGUGAUUAAUCGAUUGAGGCGAAUCGAUUUCGCGUAUCACGCAAGCAGUAAGAAAUGGUUUUCAUUUGAACGGUACACGACGUUCAACGUAAAAAUGCAAAUGCACGUUAAAGAUAGGCCACGUUAAAGACGCUCGGUGAAAGAGGAAACUAAACGGGUAGCGAAAUUUUGAAGCGGCCGGUAGCACUUGAAAAACUCGAAGGCCGAUAGCCAGGUCGUAUAUCAUGCCGAUAGCACGGCAAAGGAUGCAGGGAAACGAGCCUGACUCGAACUUGUUGAGCAAAUAAAACGCGAAAAUGUAGUAAGCCGAGGAGAAAUCAGCAGUAGAGGUAUCAGAAACGUACAAGUGUGUUAGUAACUAGCUUUACAGUGUUAUAAUAUUGGUUCGCUGAAUAUUACUCGUGCGAUCGGCCACAUUAUUUACGCAACGAUAAAUCGAAGAAAACACUUGCUUCACGCGCGACGUUCGAGUGUCUUCCCGAUUCCAUUCGAUAGCUACGUUCUACCGCGUCUUACGUCUCUCACCUUCCUGUCACUGGUGACAAAAAUCUAACCUUACUUUUAUUUUGUUUCUUUUUUCUCUUUAAAAUCUCUCAUACACAUUCCCUACUUCGUGCACGUUCGUAUUGAUUCCUUACCGUGUUUGCUCGCUAACGCCAAGUACGAAAGUAUCGACACAUUGCACGCAAAAUUUCAUUGUCGCGUUAACGUAAUUCCGCGUGUUAGUAAAUCAUGUUCGAAAUUUCUCAAACAGUCUACGAGGAUUAUCUCUGUUAACUCUUGUAUAAUUUUCUUUCAAUUUAAACACUAUCGCUGAUAUAACAAAUGAUAUAUUAAACAAUUCGUAAUGUAACAGUAACAGAUCUAAUUCUAAGCAACCGACAAGCAACAAUUACAAACAUCGUUACCCAUCGGAAACGUACAUAUAUCAUAUAUCGGAUGCGUUCAUAUAUCACGCAAAACACCGGCUAAGUGGAUAUAAUUUUUUAACGCUUAAUACAAAGUCGUCGUGUAAAAUAAAUAAACAGUCAGCGCGAAUACUCCCCUAUCUUCGUGGACGACAAGCGUCGAAUAAUCCUUUCAUCUAACUAACGGUUAAUAACCUAUAGCCUUUCCUACAGAUUUUUCUUAGAAGUAAUUUAUCAUCAGAAAGGAUUCUCAACUCAACGGAGGAUAUCUUGCUUGGUUUAGGUUUCCCCCUCCUUGAAACUCCCGCCUUAUCGGAAUUACAAUUAUCAAAGUUAGCCGAUGAACUUUUAAUUAGAAUCCGAAUAAAGUCCGAAAGGUCGUGACAAAUUGAACGACCGAGCGAGUCGGAAUGAUCGACGAAAAAGCAGCGACCGAAAAGACUUUGGAAGGAAAAAAGUGUCGCAGACUGAUAAAGCUUGAAAAGUAGAAAUUCUUGUUUCCUGAAGGUGGCAAAAGGAUCGCGACUACGCUACGCAAUACGACGCGACGGGAAGCGCUCUUAGAAAAUCAACAAGCGUCUGGGAUACGAGGAAACGAAUGGAAUACGAAGUCAGAAAGUGAUUAAAGAAAUUAGCAGCGUGUUUCCUCGCACGAUACACGUUUAGUUUUUGAUGAGAGGAUUCGUCUUGGUAGAAUUGUAUGUGACUACAGAGGUGCCAAGUCCGAAUAAUUGAUCGUCUCUCGUUUCUUAUUUCAUUCAUCUUUCUUUUUUUUUUCUUCCUUUCCUACUAAACGACCUCUUCAGACAGAACGUUUACGCGUACGAGUAGUUUCGAACAAAUCCCCGUAAUAUUCCGUGUUGCGUACAGUUUGUCAUCCUUCGUAACGGAGUUUAAUGCCACAGUAUCUAGCUAGUACUGCUACCGUGAGAUCAAUAUCCCGUAAAGGUAGUUUCCCGGGAGACAGUGUAUUUUCAUUCUAUUGGAUCAGCAGUAUUUUGGGGUCUGAUACAACGUCCGCUAUACAUAUGUUAAAUCUAGGAACACUGCUGUUACCAAACGAGCAGGCUGUUUUUUUUUUAACCACCGUAUCGUGCAACUCGUAUUUUCGGCUAUCACAAAAAAUUGUAUAUUUGCCUUCAAUUAGAGCAACGUUUCGCUAAACGAUAAUCCCGUAUUUAUGAUUUUCCAAGUUUAAUAUCUUUCUAUCGCGUCAAGCGUUUCGUCGCUGCUUUCCACAAAUUUUAUCUUCUAAGUAGUUUCUGAUCCCAAUUUCUUGUCGGUUCGUAUUCGUUCGAUCGAAUAUAUCCAAAGAACAACUCGACUGGUUCGUCUAUGGUACGAAGUAAAGGAACCCAGAUGAAAGACGAAUGAUAGGAAACAAGCGAAGACGAGACGCCCGGAGGUAGUUGUCCCAGAAUCAAUCUUCUGCAAGCGAGGGCGCUCUUUCUUAACUGCUAAGGGAGUUCUACUGACACGGAAGCAGAAACUAUCGGCUUGGCGACGUCACCGCGGUAAUUGCACGCUUCUCGAACAACGAAGUCUUUCGUAACUGGAUUUCUUGGCUCCAUUCGUUGUCGAGUUUUACUGCAGUCCGGUUUUUCCUCCAAUGUCUCUGUCCCAUCAACACUUUGUCCGAUUUUUCGCUUUUAAUCGACGAUUAUUAAUAUUAUCAUGUUAUUUUGUUAUAUUAGUAUCAUUAAGAUUGGGAAAAUACGUGUACGCUUUGAACUACCUGUAUAUUGGAAGUUUCUUGGAAAUUCUAAUUUUUGAAUAAGAAUUUAUUAAACCGUAAAAUCUAACUGAAGUACAUACGUACGUAUUACUUUUUGAUAUUCAUCAGAUAAUUUACUGUCGUAUAACACGCUUUCGAUAUGGCACAGUAUGGACUUUCGUGUUAUAGCUAUAUGGAUUACCUGAAUUAAAAUUUUAAUUAAAACCUAGAUUUUUAGAUCGUGCGAAUCAGUAUGAACCAUUUUGUUGAGUUUUUCAAUAUUUAUUUAAUCACAUUUAUACAUAUGAUAUAAGAUGAAGUCGUAGCAUAAUGAAAAAUGAAAUAAAUUGUUUUGUCAUAAAACGUAAUACCACAGCAUUCGGUUAUUCAUGGGACAAUUACCAACGAAAUGUUACAGUCUAAUAAGCAAACUUGAUUUUUGUAUAUGUAUAUAUUAAAGAUAGUUUUAU